rnacentral:rRNA from 1 species
CCUACGGGAGGCAGCAGUGAGGAAUAUUGGUCAUUGGACGAGAGUCUGAACCCGCCAAGUAGCGUGAAGGAUGACUGCCCUAUGGGUUGUAAACUUCUUUUAUAUGGGAAUAAAAUGUUCCACGUGUGGGAUUUUGUAUGUACCAUAUGACUAAGGAUCGGCUAACUCCGUGCCAGCAGCCGCGGUAAUACGGAGGAUCCGAGCGUUAUCCGGAUUUAUUGGGUUUAAAGGGAGCGUAGGUGGAUUGUUAAGUCAGUUGUGAAAGUUUGCGGCUCAACCGUAAAAUUGCAGUUGAAACUGGCAGUCGUGAGUACAGUAGAGGUGGGCGGAAUUCGUGGUGUAGCGGUGAAAUGCUUAGAUAUAACGAAGAACUCCGAUUGCGAAGGCAGCUCACUGGACUGCAACUGACACUGAGGCUCGAAAGUGUGGGUAUCAAACAGGAUUAGAUACCCCAGUAGUC